UAACACAUGGAAGAAGAACGGGCGUAGCAAUACGUCAGCGGCAGACGGGUGAGUAACGCGUGGGAACGUACCUUUUGGUUCGGAACAACACAGGGAAACUUGUGCUAAUACCGGAUAAGCCCUUACGGGGAAAGAUUUAUCGCCGAAAGAUCGGCCCGCGUCUGAUUAGCUAGUUGGUGAGGUAAUGGCUCACCAAGGCGACGAUCAGUAGCUGGUCUGAGAGGAUGAUCAGCCACAUUGGGACUGAGACACGGCCCAAACUCCUACGGGAGGCAGCAGUGGGGAAUAUUGGACAAUGGGGGCAACCCUGAUCCAGCCAUGCCGCGUGAGUGAUGAAGGCCCUAGGGUUGUAAAGCUCUUUUGUUUUGGAAGAUAAUGACGGUACCGCAAGAAUAAGCCCCGGCUAACUUCGUGCCAGCAGCCGCGGUAAUACGAAGGGGGCUAGCGUUGCUCGGAAUCACUGGGCGUAAAGGGUGCGUAGGCGGGUCUUUAAGUCAGGGGUGAAAUCCUGGAGCUCAACUCCAGAACUGCCUUUGAUACUGAAGAUCUUGAGUCCGGGAGAGGUGAGUGGAACUGCGAGUGUAGAGGUGAAAUUCGUAGAUAUUCGCAAGAACACCAGUGGCGAAGGCGGCUCACUGGCCCGGUACUGACGCUGAGGCACGAAAGCGUGGGGAGCAAACAGGAUUAGAUACCCUGGUAGUCCACGCCGUAAACGAUGAAUGCCAGCCGUUAGUGGGUUUACUCACUAGUGGCGCAGCUAACGCUUUAAGCAUUCCGCCUGGGGAGUACGGUCGCAAGAUUAAAACUCAAGGAAUUGACGGGGGCCCGCCACAAGCGGGUGGAGCAUGUGUUUAUUCGACGGCAACGCGGCAGACUUACAGCCUUGACAUGUUCCAGACGGUCGCAGAAGACGUGACUUCUCUUCGGAGCUGCAACACAGGGUGCCUGUGCAAUGUG
rnacentral:rRNA from 1 species